rnacentral:rRNA from 1 species
UAGGGAAUCUUCCGCAAUGGGCGAAAGCCUGACGGAGCAACGCCGCGUGAGUGAUGAAGGUCUUCGGAUCGUAAAACUCUGUUAUUAGGGAAGAACAAAUGUGUAAGUAACUAUGCACGUCUUGACGGUACCUAAUCAGAAAGCCACGGCUAACUACGUGCCAGCAGCCGCGGUAAUACGUAGGUGGCAAGCGUUAUCCGGAAUUAUUGGGCGUAAAGCGCGCGUAGGCGGUUACUUAAGUCUGAUGUGAAAGCCCACGGCGCAACCGUGGAGGGUCAUUGGAAACUGGAAAACUUGAGGGCAGAAGAGGAAAGUGGAAUUCCAGGUGUAGCGGUGAAAUGCGCAGAGAUAUGGAGGAAAACCAGUGGCGAAGGCGACUUUCUGGUCUGUAACUGACGCUGAUGUGCGAAAGCGUGGGGAUCAAACAGG